CCGUCUCCGCCGACAGCGCCGACCACCUGGACAACGCCAGGACGGCGCCGGCCCGGCACAGCGGCGCUCGACCGUCUUGCUGACUGGUCGGGGGCCGCCUCGGAGACGCGCACGCGACGCGCGGACGCAGCCCUGCCUGUGGAGGAGGACGACUUUUUAGCUGUUUGUGCAAUAAGUUCGGACAUUUUUUUGUGAACGUGCGUACACACCCACCAAGCUGCCCCAAGGAAGAGGACGCCCCCAGCGGGGCCCCACUCUCUGCGGACCUGACGGCCAAGAGGGGAUGUUAUAGAUCAGUGUAGAAGACUGAUGUGAUAUAUUUUGAUACUUACUAGCAGUGUCGGAGCUACGUCUGGCAUAUUGUGUCCUAUCUCACUUACAAUGAAUAAUAAUCAUCCUCUCUUAUGUGAACGUGUUCCUUUAGUCAUUCGUUAAUUGUUGCAUUUUUGUUGAUUUGUUUUGUAAAGUCUCACUGAGUUUCCGAAGGUUGUCGCAAAGGCCCCCGUUUCGUGAGAUGGAAUGCUUAAAAUUCAUUCGAUUCCUUGGCCUUGAGACUCUUAUCUUCCUGAGUGCAAAUAACCAUUACACGCCACACUCGGCGAUGGUAGCGUAGUUUGGUGUUCGGUGAAAAUGCAGGUUGCAGUUUUGAUAGACAUUUAAAACUGCAUUAUACGGAUCUUAACUUCUGGACGCUUAUGAUGUAUACUAUUGUAAAAGUGUGUACAUUGUUGUGUAUAAAGGUGCCGCAUUUAUUUAUAUCUGUGAUAAAACAAAAGAAUAAAUUGUAUCUUUCGUUGUAAUAUUUAGAUAUUUUAAAGGGCAGUUUACCAUUGUCCGUGACCUCAGGACGUGCCCUAUGCACUCUAACCAGGCAGAAAUUGCUUGUGUUACGUUGCCACAUUUAUGAUUUGUUGACUUUUUUUGUUGUGAAACGCACACCUGUGUUUAGCUCUAUGUAGCGAUGUCAAAAUUAAAGCUAAGAUUUACUGUUUUAGGCCACAUGACUUUUGUCCUAAUUCUACUUCAGUGGAUAAAUUUUUGAUGUUGUUGUUGUGUGUUCCUUCAGCAAAACCAAUAAAAAGCUUAAUGCAGGACACCAGAACACUUGAAAGAUAAUUGUUUUAACGUUUUGACGGUGGUACAAAUCACAUUAAAUUUGUUUUGUUUGAAAUUGGUUGAAAGUCAGACUGUGCCAAUAAAAUAAGGUUUCCUCGCUACCAGUGCAAAUCUUCCCGAAGCAAGUGAACUUCUAUUGUAACCCUCUUGUUUCGUGUUCUAAUCGUUUGAACGGUAACUGCAGUUCAUGCCGCCAUUGUUUUUGUUAUUCGAAUAUCAAGGCAAUCAAAGACAAAGAUGUUAAGUUGCAAAGACGAACCUAUGCCGUAACAGUGCUGUUUCUACGUGUACAUUGAAUGAGAUUCCUGUGUAAAUAAUAGGUUUAUGUGUGAAUAUAGACUUAAUUAUUGUCCUAUUAUUGUCUUUAUGAUCGUCCACUUUAUUAAAAUUCAAAUUAAAUUGAAAUAUAUUUAAAUCAAAUGAAA